CUAUACAUCGCAUGAGGAUGAUGAUGAAUUAGUUGCAAAUCCAUUUCAUUCAUUUAUAAAAAUCCACUUAUUUUGAUUUUAAAAUUUAUAUCAUUGAUAGUGAAAUCUGUUUGUUUGAUUUUGAAAUCAAGGGAUUUGUCAAUGAUUUGUAAAUCUAAUUUUUUUUCUAAAUCCACUAAAAUACUAGAUCCAAUAACCCCUACUCAUUCUUCUCCGGACAUCAGGUCAAAUCCUCUCAAUUCCACCGACUAUAAUUUAAAUGAGAUGUAACGUUUCCGUCUUUAUUGAAAUUUCAUCUUUAAGUUUCACCAUUAAUUCUCUAAUUCAAGCUCUCCCACGACGUUUGGUUUUAAUUAUCUCUUUUUCUCACU
rnacentral:lncRNA from 1 species